rnacentral:rRNA from 1 species
CCUACGUGAGGCAGCAGUGAGGAAUAUUGGUCAAUGGCCGGAAGGCUGAACCAGCCAUGCCGCGUGAAGGUCAGUGCCCUAUGGGCGUUAAACUUCUUUUGUGCGGGAGCAAUAAUGGUCACGUGUGGCCAGACGAGAGUACCGUACGAAUAAGCAUCGGCUAACUCCGUGCCAGCAGCCGCGGUAAUACGGGGGAUGCAAGCGUUAUCCGGAUUUAUUGGGUUUAAAGGGUGCGUAUGCUGUGAGGGAAGUCAGCGGUGAAAUGCCCCCGCUCAACGGGGUGAAGUGCCAUUGAUACUGCCUUGCUGUAAUGCGGAUGCGGUGGGAGGAAUGUGUGGUGUAGCGGUGAAAUGCAUAGAUAUCACACAGAACACCGAUUGCGAAGGCAUCUCACGAAUCCGCGAUUGACGCUGAUGCACGAAAGCGUGGGUAUCAAACAGGAUUAGAUACCCUAGUAGUC